AGAGUUUGAUCCUGGCUCAGGACGAACGCUGGCGGCGGGCUUAACACAUGCAAGUUGAAGGAGAAGCCCUGACUUCGGUUGGGGUGGAGACUGGCGCACGGGUGAGUAACGCGUAGACAACCUGCCUGAAUCUGGGGGAUAACCGCCCGAAAGGGUGGCUAAUACCGCAUAAUGCAGCGGGGCCGCAUGGCCACAGUUGUUAAAAGUUUCGGCUGGAUUCAGAUGGGUCUGCGUGCUAUUAGUUAGUUGGUGAGGUAACGGCUCACCAAGGCGAUGAUAGCUAGGGGGUCUGAGAGGAUGAUCCCCCACACUGGGACUGAGACACGGCCCAGACUCCUACGGGAGGCAGCAGUGAGGAAUCUUGCGCAAUGGGGGAAACCCCGACGCAGCCACGCCGCGUGCCGGAAGACGGCCCUAUGGGUUGUAAACGGCUUUUAUUUGGGAAGAAUCUGUCCCGUUCGCGGGGCACUGACGGUACCAAUUGAACAAACACCGGCUAACUCCGUGCCAGCAGCCGCGGUAAUACGGAGGGUGCAAGCGUUGUCCGGAAUCAUUGGGUGUAAAGGGUGCGCAGGCUGGCGCCUAAGUCGGAGGUGAAAUCUUGCCGCUUAACGGUAAAAUUGCCCCCGAUACUGGGUGUCUUGAAUCUGACAGAGGUCGGUGGAAUUCGUGGUGUA
rnacentral:rRNA from 1 species